GGAAGCGGGGAUGACGUCAAAUCAGCACGGCCCUUACGUCCAGGGCUACACACGUGUUACAAUGGCCGGUACAGAGGGCAGCCACCCGCGAGGGGGCGCGAAUCCCGAAAGCCGGUCGCAGUUCGGAUCGGAGUCUGGAACCCGACUCCGUGAAGCUGGAUUCGCUAGUAAUCGCGCAUCAGCCAUGGCGCGGUGAAUACGUUCCCGGGCCUU
rnacentral:rRNA from 1 species